rnacentral:rRNA from 1 species
UACAGAGGGUGCGAGCGUUGUUCGGAAUUACUGGGCGUAAAGCGCGCGCAGGCGGCCUUUUAAGUCUGACGGUGAAAUGCCGGGGCUCAACCCCGUGCCCGCCGGAGAUACUGGGAGGCUGGAGACAUGUAGAGGCAAGCGGAAUUCCGGGUGUAGCGGUGGAAUGCGUAGAGAUCCGGAAGAACACCGGAGGCGAAGGCGGCUUGCUGGGCAUGAUCUGACGCUGAGGCGCGAAAGCGUGGGGAGCGAACAGG